GGGAAAACCAAAUACAGCGCUAGUUAGCUGAAAGUGUCUAUUAUGCCAGUACAAACUUGGGUUUUUGUUGGUGCAUUAGUAUUUUUUCUGUAGCGUUUAGAAACGAACAUGUUUUUUUCUCUUGCCGAAAAUAAUGUGCGAAAAACAUGAGCAACGGAUAAACGUAAAAUUUUCUCGUUAAACUAAAAAAAACUCCAACUGAGUGCUAUAAGUUG